CAUGUUAUCAAUUAGGUCAUCCGCGCGUCGACACGUGUCAUCAUAAAUGAAACGCAGCGUCUCUAUUUUUUUCUUCCGUUCGGGCUGUAUUGCGCUUCGUCUCACUCUUUGUUUGUGGCCCUUUGUUGUGCGGCCAGACGAAACUUAACUCGACGCGAAAUCCUAAUCCGUGUGUUGAUCCUCUUUUUGUUUUUCGUUUCACUUCGAUUGGCGGAGACGAUCCAGUUUCUGUAACUGAAUUCGGUGUGAUUGCUUCAUCUUUAAUCCUAUUAAAUUGCGGUGUUCAGUCGGUUAUAUCGUGUAUAAAUAGGUAGUACAUCUUUAGGAUGUUUGAAAAAGGUUAGUGGAGAAGACGGUGGUGGUGGUAGCCAACAUCAUGACGGCACUGAAACUGAUAGGAAGAAGAAACGUUACCAACAUCACACCGCUCAACAGAUUCAACGUCUUGAAUCGAGUUUCAAGAAUGUCCUCAUCCAGAUGAUAAGCAGAGGAACCAACUUAGCAGAGAAUUGGGUUUGGCUCCAAGACAAAUCAAGUUCUGGUUUAACAGAAGAACUCAGCUUAAGGCGCAACAUGAGAGAGCAUAUAACAAUGCACUAAGAAGCAGCGGCUUCAACGACCUCAAGUCUCGCGGCUUCAACGGCCUCUUCUCUCAGAUCGAGGAUGUAAGGGACAAGCAUCAGAAGUCGGCACCAGCUCCUCUGGUUGUGAGGGAGAGUCCACUCAGAUAUAACAAAAAUCUUCAACUUUUUUCGUUCGGGAGACGUACAUGCCGCUGUUUCGUUGCGGCCGAGUGUGAGUGACCAGUUUAUCGGAGGGAAAGCUUAAGACACAAAGUGAGGUUGACACAAUCAUGACAAUUUAGAAUGUUGAGGUUCUGAUGUUUCACGUUUCAUGGUCACUCGAGAUUCUGUUGAUCCUGAACCGCUAUCCCUCGAAAUUACAGAGUCAUUUGACUAAAAUAAUAAAAAUCUUUGAUGCAGGAUUCCACUUCCUAACACAUGGAAACUAUGACACUUUGUUGUCCUUAAAGUCUUCAUCGUAGUGUUUCAGAUUUAAUCUCUUUUAUAAUAUGGGUGGUAAUGGUUCGAGGAUUAACACUACGAUGAAGACUUUCUUACUCUACUGAUCAACUGUCUGAUGCAAUAGCUAAGAGAGUUUCUUCAUUUUCGAUUUAUCAUGUUGUCUUAAGGAGUUGUACUUUUUAUUGGUGUAUGAAAUCAUCUUUAUUUUGUUUGACUCAACGAUAUUGGAUAGGUUAGUUUGUGUUGAUUUGUGUCUCCUACAUUUGUUGCAUAAUGGUGCAUGGUUAUACUUACUCUGUAUAUGAAUGCUACAAGAUUGUUGUCAAGAAUGAGCCUGAGCAGCUUCGCUUUUGAUGCCAGUA